rnacentral:rRNA from 1 species
AACGAACGCUGGCGGCAUGCCCUAACACAUGCAAGUCGAACGGCUCUUCGGAGCAGUGGCGCACGGGUGAGUAACGCGUGGGAACCUACCCCGAGGUACGGAAUAACGGCUGGAAACGGCCGCUAAUACCGUAUGUGUCCUAAGGGAGAAAGAUUUAUCGCCUUGGGAGGGGCCCGCGUCCGAUUAGCUAGUUGGUGAGGUAAUGGCUCACCAAGGCAGUGAUCGGUAGCUGGUCUGAGAGGAUGAUCAGCCACACUGGGACUGAGACACGGCCCAGACUCCUACGGGAGGCAGCAGUGGGGAAUAUUGGACAAUGGGCGCAAGCCUGAUCCAGCAAUGCCGCGUGUGUGAUGAAGGCCCUAGGGUUGUAAAGCACUUUCGCCGAUGACGAUGAUGACGGUAGUCGGAUAAGAAGCCCCGGCUAACUCCGUG